AGGAAAUGAAAAACCCCACUUUGAUGUAGCUUAUAUUCUAAUAAUGGAGACAAAAUAAACAAGAAACAUUAAGUAAAAAUACCAAAUUUUAGAUCUUAAUAAGUGCCAAAGUAGACCAAAGAGACCGGUUGCACUGGCUUACACCUGUAAUUCCAGCACUAUGGGAGGCCAGGAGUUGAAUUCAGGAGUUCAAGACCAGCCUGGGCAACACAGUAAGACCACAUCUCAAAAAAAAACAAGAAGAAAAGUAGGCCAAAGAAAUAUAAAUUACGUAUGUGGUAGAGGGGACUUGACAGUUUAGAUAGGAUGUCUGAAAGAGGCUUCCCAGAGAGUGCGUUUCUGAGUUAAACAAUGAAGUGGGUAAUCUAGUAAUAGAGUGUUUGGAAUAAGAGCAUUCCAAGGAGACAUACAAAAAGCAACAACCUUGGAGUUGUAACACAUUUAGCAUAUUCAAGGUAGAGUCAGAAGCCAGUGUGCUGGAAACAACUGAAUGAAAGAGAGAGGAUAAAGAAGAAAUCAGGAUACUAAGAAGAGGAGAGCAGGUAAUGUUCCACACUGAAGAUCACAGAAAAGACUUCAAGUAAAUUCUAAGUGAAGUGGACAGCCAGAAGGAAUGUUUUAAGAAUUUUUAGACAGAAUUUGACGUCAUUACUAUGGCAAGGACAAAAUCACGAGGAUCAGGCCUUUAUUAUCUGAAGACUGAAAGACUGAAUGAGAAAUGCAUCUGAUCUAAUGCUGAGACAGUCGAAUUUGGGAAUUUGAAAUGCGAUUUACCAGAGAGCAACUUGGGCUUAGCACAUGAACCUGCAAGAUCUCAAACUGAAUAUACAAAAAGACAGUCUAUGGAUGUCAAUACUGAGAUAACAGAGAAGCUAAAGUUAUCUGAAGCAAAAUGUAAAACAAUCAUGAUAAAACUGAUGAAGAUGGCCUUUUCUGGUCCGCCUGGUAAACUCCUAUUCUUCCUUCAGAUUCAGCCCAAAUCAGUCUUCAGUAAUAAUUCUCACUUACUGGACUUGGCGCUUGACUGAGAGAGUGAGGCAGACAGAUGACUUUGGACCGUACUGG
rnacentral:lncRNA from 1 species